rnacentral:rRNA from 1 species
CCUACGGAGGCAGCAGUGGGGAAUUUUGGACAAUGGGCGAAAGCCUGAUCCAGCAAUGCCGCGUGUGUGAAGAAGGCCUUCGGGUUGUAAAGCACUUUUGUCCGGAAGGAAAUCCUUGGCUCUAAUACAGUCGGGGGAUGACGGUACCGGAAGAGUAAGCACCGGCUAACUACGUGCCAGCAGCCGCGGUAAUACGUAGGGUGCGAGCGUUAAUCGGAAUUACUGGGCGUAAAGCGUGCGCAGGCGGUUUGCUAAGACCGAUGUGAAAUCCCCGGGCUCAACCUGGGAACUGCAUUGGUGACUGGCAGGCUAGAGUAUGGCAGAGGGGGGUAGAAUUCCACGUGUAGCAGUGAAAUGCGUAGAGAUGUGGAGGAAUACCGAUGGCGAAGGCAGCCCCCUGGGCCAAUACUGACGCUCAUGCACGAAAGCGUGGGGAGCAAACAGGAUUAGAUACCCUGGUAGUCCACGCCCUAAACGAUGUCAACUAGUUGUUGGGGAUUCAUUUCCUUAGUAACGUAGCUAACGCGUGAAGUUGACCGCCUGGGGAGUACGGUCGCAAGAUUAAAACUCAAAGGAAUUGACGGGGACCCGCACAAGCGGUGGAUGAUGUGGAUUAAUUCGAUGCAACGCGAAAAACCUUACCUACCCUUGACAUGGUCGGAAUCCCGCUGAGAGGUGGGAGUGCUCGAAAGAGAACCGGCGCACAGGUGCUGCAUGGCUGUCGUCAGCUCGUGUCGUGAGAUGUUGGGUUAAGUCCCGCAACGAGCGCAACCCUUGUCCUUAGUUGCUACGCAAGAGCACUCUAAGGAGACUGCCGGUGACAAACCGGAGGAAGGUGGGGAUGACGUCAAGUCCUCAUGGCCCUUAUGGGUAGGGCUUCACACGUCAUACAAUGGUCGGAACAGAGGGUUGCCAACCCGCGAGGGGGAGCUAAUCCCAGAAAACCGAUCGUAGUCCAGAUUGCACUCUGCAACUCGAGUGCAUGAAGCUGGAACCGCUAGUAAUCGCGGAUCAGCAUGCCGCGGUGAAUA